UUGAACGCUGGCGGAAUGCUUUACACAUGCAAGUCGGGCGGCAGCGCGGGGGCAACCCUGGCGGCGAGCGGCGAACGGGUGAGUAACAUAUCGGAACGUACCCAGACGUGGGGGACAACUAGUCGAAAGACUAGCUAAUACCGCAUACGUCCUGAGGGAGAAAGCGGGGGAUCGCAAGACCUCGCGCGUUUGGAGCGGCCGAUAUCUGAUUAGCUAGAUGGUGGGGUAAAGGCCCACCAUGGCGACGAUCAGUAGCUGGUCUGAGAGGAUGAUCAGCCACACUGGAACUGAGACACGGUCCAGACUCCUACGGGAGGCAGCAGUGGGGAAUUUUGGACAAUGGGCGCAAGCCUGAUCCAGCCAUGCCGCGUGUGUGAAGAAGGCCUUCGGGUUGUAAAGCACUUUCGGCCGGGACGAAAUCGCUCGGGUUAACACCCAGGGUGGAUGACGGUACCGGAAGAAGAAGCACCGGCUAACUACGU
rnacentral:rRNA from 1 species